ensembl:Mt_tRNA
ACUCUCUUAGUAUAAACAGUACAGUUGACUUCCAAUCAACCAGCCUCGGCACACCCUGAGAAAGAGUA